AUGGACUCCUCCAUUUUCCUGUUCAUUAUACCUUACUUCUUUGCCUGCACUCUAGCCGCAACCAGCCCCACAAUCCUCCUCAACUCAAGCGAACCGACGUCAUGGCUAAACGACAACUCGAUCGACAUGAACGUAAACAGCACCGACGGAUCAAAAGUAAGAGCAAUUCUAUCAAGAACAAGGAGCCUCGGCUUUGUCUCUGGAUUCUACUGCACUGGCAACUGCACCUCUUACUACUUCGGCAUUACUGUCGUUGGAGGAGGCAAUCCCGCCUUGGUUUGGUCAGCAAACCCGGAACACCCGGUGAGCGAGAACGCGAACCUGACACUGACUCGAGAGGGGGAUUUAGUGCUCCGGAAUCCGGAUGGAUCGACUGUGUGGUCGACCGGAACGGCAGGGAUCUCUGUGGCGGGAAUGAACUUAACCGAAUUGGGAAACUUGGUUUUGUUUAAUGAGACGGGAGCUGUUUGGCAGUCUUUUGAUCACCCAACCGAUACAUUGUUGGCCGGACAACGGUUGUACGAGGAUCAGAGGCUUGUGUCGGGUUUGUACUAUGCCACUGUAACAAUCUCUGGACUAGCUGCAUUUACCAGGGUGGGUAACGGUGGAUCACAGAUGUACUACCAGCUGGAACCAGAGCCGGAUACCACGGAUCAAAGUUCACUUAGAGGCCGGUGUCCUCUUCUAACGAAAAUCGAAGUCAAUACCUCAGAUAACGCAGAGCUCCAAACCAGAGGAUUCCUCGAGAACAUGGGAUCAAACCGCUCAAAACUGCCGUUGGAUUUGUCUGUUGAGUACGUACGACUCAAUAGCAAUGGGAGUUUGAAGUUAUACAGGCACGAACCAGCAACCAGGGCAAAUGAGAUUGUCGAUAUGGUUACCAAAGAUUUCGGAGUCUGUCAACUUCCUCGCCAAUGCGGGGAUUUCGGCUUCUGCGAUGAAGGGAUAUGUGGUUGUCCCAAAGGAGUCAAAGGGUUUAAAUGGAAGAAUGAUAGAUGCUCCAGGACUACCCAAUUGUGCCAAGCUCGCUCUGAUAAAGCAGACCUGGUCGAAAUGAAAAAUGUCAGUUACUUCAAUUUCAUUGAUCCAAAUGCAGCAGCUUCAAACAUCACAGAUUUAGAGAGCUGUAAAGAAGCUUGUCACAAUAAUUGUUCAUGUGAAGCUGCAUUCUACGGGUAUGAUAAUAACAAUCAUUCAAAUGGUUUCUGUUAUAUUCCAUCAGAGGUCUUGUCCGUAAGAGAAGGAGAAAUUCCAAAUUACAAUUUCACAUCAACAGCAUAUAUUAAAGUGGAGAAACUGGCACCGAAAAACCGAAACAGACUAAUAGAGAUAAUAGCAGGCUCCGGUUCUGCUGUCCUAUUGAUUUUCUGUCUCUCAAUACUGAUAUUCUGGAAGAAAUUUAGCAAGACGAUCACAGAGGAUGUCGAGGAGUAUAUGCGACAAGUUCCGGGGAUGCCCGUUAUGUUUACGCAUGAGCAACUUCGUGUGGCAACAAGGGAUUUCAAGGAGAGGCUUGGUAGUGGUGGGUUUGGCUCGGUGUUCAAAGGAGUGUUACCGGAUGGCACUGAGAUCGCAGUGAAGCGGUUACAUAAAGUGGGCCACGCAGUUAGGGAAUUCAUAGCAGAAGUUGAAACAAUUGGCAGCAUCCACCAUUUUAAUCUGGUGAGAUUGGUUGGCUUUUCUGCAGAUAAAUCUUGCCUUCUAGUAUAUGAGUACAUGAGUAAUGGGUCUUUAGACCAAUGGAUCUUUCAUAGGGACCAAAAACCUUGUCUCGAUUGGGAAACCCGUAAGAAGAUUACUCACCAGAUAGCCAAAGGGUUGGCCUAUUUGCAUGAAGAAUGCAGACAGAGAAUCAUUCACCUUGACAUAAAGCCACAAAACAUUCUCUUGGAUGCAAAUUUCAAUGCCAAAAUCUCGGAUUUCGGGUUAUCUAAGCUAGUAGACAGGGACAACAGCCAGGUCCUGAUCACUUUGAGAGGAACUCCUGGGUAUAUUGCUCCAGAAUGUGGCCAUUCAAAUAGCACAACAAAAGUUGACAUCUACAGUUUUGGGAUUGUUCUCCUCGAAAUAGUUACCGGCAGGAAAAAUUUAGAUGGAACCCGAUCAGAAUCCAGCAAACAUCUACUCAGUUUGAUGCAGAAGAAGGCAAGGGACGAUCAAUUACUUGACAUUGUGGAGGAUUUGAACGAGGAGAUGCCUGAAAAUCGAGAAGAAAUGUUGAGAAUGAUAAGAAUUGCAGCUUGGUGUUUACAAAAUGAUCCCACUAAAAGGCCUCUCAUGUCGACCGUGGUGAAGGUUUUGGAAGGAGUGAUGGAAGUGGAUCCAAGUAUCAGCUACGACUUCACCCAUGCAAUGGGAUCUUCUUCCGUUGCCAGUGGCCAUGUUUCUGCAACACUACAAUCAUCAGUUCUUUCAACUCCUAUGCAAGCAUCAGUUCUUUCUAAUCCUAGAUGAAAAGCAGCAAUUCAGAGAGAGAGAGAGAGAGAGACGGCAAGAAGAAGAAGAAGAAAGAGGGGUUCCAGCUUGGUAAUUGAAGACCUGAUUUGGUAAUUCUUAUGCUUUAAGUAGUGAAUUUCAUACUCUACUUUUGGGUUUAAUUCAAGAGAAUAUGUUUUGGGAUUGAAUUUAUAUGGAGCUCAAGAACUAGACCUUGAAUCCUUGAUUGGUGUGUUAAGGUUUGUUUUGGAACUUGAUUUUCCUGCUGUUGUGGGUAGAUCUUGUAGUCCAUCUGAUUAUCAAUUUGUAAGGUUUUAGAGCGGGUUGAGGUGUUCGAAGUGGUUUGGGGGGUUGGAAAUCGAAGGAAAGUCGAACUGCACUUUUUAGGAAAACCCAGUCUCUAACAGUAGCAGGUUUUUGGCCCUAGCAGUAGCAACACUCUAGAACUGGAAUUCUUGGUUAUCCUACCGGUAGGAGGGUUUUUUUCCUCCUGGUAGCACCUGCAUACUUUGGAGAAAUUCUGCAUCGUUUAUGAUUUACGUUUGAUCUCCCACAUUCCUAGGACCUCAUUCUAAGCAUGAAUAGACACAUUUGGCAUUGACUAAUCAUAUUUUUG